AUGAUCAAUCACAAUUGUCCUCCAAUACGCGCGGUGGUGGGGCGGAGACCCCUGCUUUGAGCGGCAGUGUGCUGCGCUGCUGUGGGUGAGAGGGAUCAACGCUGCUCUGCCUUUCAACACUUAGCGGUAAUUAGCGGCCGUGUGAGCACUUUGAAAUCAGGCACUUUGAAAUCAGGCACUUUGAAAUCAGGCACUUUGAAAUCAGUUUUUUUUGCGCGCGGCACGUGACUGAGGGGGACGCGCAAACAGCAACCUGGCAACAACAAUUGGAUCGUAGGAAGGUUGUAAUAGUAGUAGCUCUGCAGCGGCCAAGUUGCAUCCACAAUAACGCUAUUUAGCUGGUCGACAGUCGGACUACUGCUCACUCCGGAGAGUCUCCUCGCUCCGAAGAACAAGGAUGAACAGGAGAAACUGAGAUCUCUCCUGGCGGACCGAACAAGCAAGUCGACUCCAACAGUGCCACGCCUGUCCUCAGUCUACUUGUGGUCUGACGGCACUCACCAACAUCAAAGGUACCCGUGCCUCUCUCUACACCUCAAGCCUCCUUUAAUCACUUUGUUCAGCUUAUCAUUGCA
rnacentral:lncRNA from 1 species